UAACGCUGGCGGCGUGCCUAACACAUGCAAGUCGGACGAUCAUCUUUGUAGCAUAUGGAAGAUGGGGAGUGCGCACGGGUGAGUAAUACAUAGAUGAUCUGCCUUUCAGACUGGGACAACUCAGGGAAACUUGAGCUAAUACCAGAUAAGACCACAUGAAGGGAUUCACGUGAUCAAACGGGGGAGCAAUUUCCUGCUGGAAGAUGAGUCUAUGUCCUAUCAGUUAGUUGGUGGGGUAACGGCCUACCAAGACGAAGACGGGUAGCCGGCCUGAGAGGGUGAACGGCCACAUUGGGACUGAGACACGGCCCAGACUCCUACGGGAGGCAGCAGUGAGGAAUUUUCCGCAAUGGGCGCAAGCCUGACGGAGCGACGCCGCGUGAGGGGAAUGAAGGUUUUCGGAUCGUAAACCUCUUUUAUCAAGGAAAAAGGCUGUAAUGCUUAUACCAUUGCAGUUUGAUUGUACUUAAUGAAUAAGCCCCGGCUAACUACGUGCCAGCAGCUGC
rnacentral:rRNA from 1 species